AUGGUAUCAGCUCACAUAUAUCAAAGGAAAAACAACAAAGAGAAGAAAAAAGGCAAACAGAGCUUUCAAAAAGAGAUACAUUCAGAAUUGUACAACACUGAAAGCAUUGCAUCAGGAGAGCAAACACACAUGGAUCAUUCAUCAAAGACUCUAGGAUUCAGAAUCAAGCAGAUUGAAGAUCAAGCUAACAAAUACGCCCAGAAUAGAACUGUUGAUGAAGUAGUUAAAAGGUUGAAGGACAGAGUGAUACGAGAGGCAGCCACUACUAAAGACAGCUUUUUUUACCUACAACAAGUAUGAGAAAAUUAAUAAAGCUGGCUUGCAGAAGGUAGGAAAAAUGUUA
rnacentral:lncRNA from 1 species